CCUACGGGGGGCAGCAGUCGAGAAUCAUUCACAAUGGGGGAAACCCUGAUGGUGCGACGCCGCGUGGGGGAAUGAAGGUCUUCGGAUUUUAAACCCCUGUCAUGUGGGAGCAAAUUAAAAAGAUAGUACCACAAGAGGAAGAGACAGCUAACCCUGUGCCAGCAGCCGAGGUAAUACGGAGGGCUCAAGCGUUGUUCGGAAUCACUGGGCGUAAAGCGCUCGAAGGCGGUAGGUCAAGUCAAGGGUGAAAUCCCCGAGCUCAACGUGGGAACUGCAUUUGAAACUAGUAAACUGGAGUGUGUGAGAGGAUAGUGGAAUUCCAGGUGUAGGAGUGAAAUCCGUAGAUAUCUGGAGGAACAGCAGUGGCGAAGGCGACUAUCUGGAACAUAACUGACGCUGAGGAGCGAAAGCGUGGGUAGCAAACAGGAUUAGAUACCCUUGUAGUC
rnacentral:rRNA from 1 species